CUAGCGACUUCAGAGUUUGAUCCUGGCUCAGGAUGAACGCUGGCGGCGUGCAUAACACAUUCAAGUCGAACGGAGUUAAACGGAUUAAUCCUUCGGGAAGCGUUUGUUUAACUUAGUGGCGGACGGGUGAGUAACGCGUGAGCAACCUGCCCUUGUGUGGGGGAUAACGUUUGGAAACGAACGCUAACACCGCAUAAUGUAUUGAGACUGCAUGAUCUUAAUACCAAAGAUUUAUUGCGCAAGGAUGGGCUCGCGUUGGAUUAGAUAGUUGGUGAGGUAACGGCCCACCAAGUCUACGAUCCAUAGCCGGACUGAGAGGUUGAACGGCCACAUUGGAACUGAGAAACGGUCCAG
rnacentral:rRNA from 1 species